rnacentral:rRNA from 1 species
UACAGAGGGUGCAAGCGUUAUUCGGAAUUAUUGGGCGUAAAGAGCGCGUAGGCGGUUUAUUAAGUCUGAUGUGAAAGCCCUGGACUCAAUCCAGGAAGUGCAUCGGAUACUGAUAGACUAGAGUACAGGAGAGGAGAGCGGAAUUCCCGGUGUAGAGGUGAAAUUCGUAGAUAUCGGGAGGAACAACAGAGGCGAAGGCGGCUCUCUGGACUGUUACUGACGCUGAGGCGCGAAAGCGUGGGGAGCAAACAGG